UAAUACAUGCAAGUCGAGGGGUAAGGGAGAGCUUGCUUUCCCUGAGACCGGCGCACGGGUGCGUAACGCGUAUGCAACCUACCCUUUUCUGGGGGAUAGCCCGAAGAAAUUCGGAUUAAUACCGCAUAAGACCACGAUAUGGCAUCAUAAUGGGGUCAAACAUUUAUGGGAGAAGGAUGGGCAUGCGUGUCAUUAGCUAGUUGGUGAGGUAACGGCUCACCAAGGCGACGAUGACUAGGGGAUCUGAGAGGAUGACCCCCCACACUGGUACUGAGACACGGACCAGACUCCUACGGGAGG
rnacentral:rRNA from 1 species